CUCUGGUAUUGAUUGGUGCUUGCAUCAUGAUUUACAUUUGAGUGAGUGGCGAACUGGUGAGUAACACGUGGGAAACCUGCCCAGAAGCGGGGGAUAACACCUGGAAACAGAUGCUAAUACCGCAUAACAACUUGGACCGCAUGGUCCGAGUUUGAAAGAUGGCUUCGGCUAUCACUUUUGGAUGGUCCCGCGGCGUAUUAGCUAGAUGGUGGGGUAACGGCUCACCAUGGCAAUGAUACGUAGCCGACCUGAGAGGGUAAUCGGCCACAUUGGGACUGAGACACGGCCCAAACUCCUACGGGAGGCAGCAGUAGGGAAUCUUCCACAAUGGACGAAAGUCUGAUGGAGCAACGCCGCGUGAGUGAAGAAGGGUUUCGGCUCGUAAAACUCUGUUGUUAAAGAAGAACAUAUCUGAGAGUAACUGUUCAGGUAUUGACGGUAUUUAACCAGAAAGCCACGGCUAACUACGUGCCAGCAGCCGCGGUAAUACGUAGGUGGCAAGCGUUGUCCGGAUUUAUUGGGCGUAAAGCGAGCGCAGGCGGUUUUUUAAGUCUGAUGUGAAAGCCUUCGGCUCAACCGAAGAAGUGCAUCGGAAACUGGGAAACUUGAGUGCAGAAGAGGACAGUGGAACUCCAUGUGUAGCGGUGAAAUGCGUAGAUAUAUGGAAGAACACCAGUGGCGAAGGCGGCUGUCUGGUCUGUAACUGACGCUGAGGCUCGAAAGUAUGGGUAGCAAACAGGAUUAGAUACCCUGGUAGUCCAUACCGUAAACGAUGAAUGCUAAGUGUUGGAGGGUUUCCGCCCUUCAGUGCUGCAGCUAACGCAUUAAGCAUUCCGCCUGGGGAGUACGGCCGCAAGGCUGAAACUCAAAGGAAUUGACGGGGGCCCGCACAAGCGGUGGAGCAUGUGGUUUAAUUCGAAGCUACGCGAAGAACCUUACCAGGUCUUGACAUACUAUGCAAAUCUAAGAGAUUAGACGUUCCCUUCGGGGACAUGGAUACAGGUGGUGCAUGGUUGUCGUCAGCUCGUGUCGUGAGAUGUUGGGUUAAGUCCCGCAACGAGCGCAACCCUUAUUAUCAGUUGCCAGCAUUAAGUUGGGCACUCUGGUGAGACUGCCGGUGACAAACCGGAGGAAGGUGGGGAUGACGUCAAAUCAUCAUGCCCCUUAUGACCUGGGCUACACACGUGCUACAAUGGAUGGUACAACGAGUUGCGAACUCGCGAGAGUAAGCUAAUCUCUUAAAGCCAUUCUCAGUUCGGAUUGUAGGCUGCAACUCGCCUACAUGAAGUCGGAAUCGCUAGUAAUCGCGGAUCAGCAUGCCGCGGUGAAUACGUUCCCGGGCCUUGUACACACCGCCCGUCACACCAUGAGAGUUUGUAACACCCAAAGUC
rnacentral:rRNA from 2 species